UACAGAGGUCCCAAGCGUUGUUCGGAUUCAUUGGGCGUAAAGGGUGCGUAGGUGGCUCCGUACGUCGGGUGUGAAAUUUCGGAGCUUAACUCCGAAACUGCAUUCGAUACUGCGGUGCUUGAGGACUGGAGAGGAGACUGGAAUUCAUGGUGUAGCAGUGAAAUGCGUAGAGAUCAUGAGGAAGACCAGUGGCGAAGGCGGGUCUCUGGGCAGUACCUGACACUGAGGCACGAAGGCCAGGGGAGCAAACGGG
rnacentral:rRNA from 1 species